GACUGCCAGGAACAGACACCAAACCAAAAAGAUUCUCAGGGUCCUUUUCCUUUCCUUUUCCUCCUUUUCCUGAGUGAUCACACCGAAUCCAAAGUGCAAUAAACCACAGAACUACUUCAAAUUAUUUUAAAAUAGCCCCGUGUUUACCAGCAGAGUUUAUUUCCUUCUUGUGCUUCUCCUAGCUUGUGAACUUUUGGAGUACCGUUUCACCCUUUAUUUCUAAGGGAACCACGGAUGUGAAUUUCCUGACAACAGAAGGAGCACAAGCAUGCACUGGAUUAUUCCGACAGCUCGUGCUGGCCCAUGGCUGAAUGCCAGCUGGGACCACACUCCUCACGGCCUGGCACAGAGGUGCUGCUGCUGCCUGUGAUGGCUUUGCUCUAAAAACCCCCGGGCAGAGCUGGUCAGCUGCCCUUCCUAGCCCUUCUCAGCCCUUCCUAGCCUUUCUCAGCCCUUCCCAGCCCUACCCGAGCUGUGAGUACUCAGCAAGGCUGGCACCUCCCGUGCCACAGACAGCGCUGUGGCCGCUGCGUAGUUUUAAGAAAAUGCAGAUGCCAAAUUUUGGCAAUUGCAGUGCCAAAGUAUAUGCCAAAUUGGUGUCGUUUCAAGAAAAUGCAAAUGCGCCUGCCUUGGCUCGGCAGCCUGUCCUGCACGGCCAGCUCAUCACCCGUGAUGGUCAGGACACCUUCCAUGGCCAGCUUGUCCUCUGUGCCCCAGCCGGGCCAUGUGUCACAGCCAAGCUGCUGUCCUUCAUGGCCAUGUCCAUCCUUCACCGUGCGGCCGCUUCACGCAUCCAGACUGUCCUUCGUGGCCAGGCCUGCUCUGAACGGCCGGGCCACUGUCCGUUGUGGCCAGGCUGGUCACCCUUCGCCAGCCAGUCCUCGGGCUGGCCGUGCGGAGCAGCCGGGCCAGGUCGAGCCGUACCCUGCGGGUCCGUGCGGGGCAGAGCGGGUCCGUGCGGUUCGGUUCGAAGCGGCUGGGUCGGUGCCNNNNNNNNNNNNNNNNNNNNNNNNNNNNNNNNNNNNNNNNNNNNNNNN
rnacentral:lncRNA from 1 species